GUUGGUCUCGUCUUUAUUUAAUAACAGAACAAUCGAAAUUGCCCUAAAAAAAUUUGUUUUCUCCAUUCGUCCAAAUCUCGGCGGCAGAAACAGAGAGGAAACUUAUCUUAAACCCCCUAUCUCCGGUGAAAGCGUGCGUUACUAUGUCUGACUUCGAAGAUCACGAGGGAAACGGGACAGCUGUUGACGGCUUCGAGGCCGAUGAUAACGGCGGCCGCGGCGGAGAAAUCGAGGAUCAAACAGACUCGAAAUCUCAGGGAGAAACACGUGACAAUGAAAGAGAGUCUUCAAGAAGUAAAGACAGAGAAAGAGAGAAGGGAUCUGUAGAUCGAAGCAGAGACAGAAGCAAGGAGAGAAGUAGAGACAGGGAUCGUGAGCGUCGUAGCCGCCACAGGGAUCGUAGUAGAGACCGUGGUGAUAGAAGAGACCGUGGUAGUAGAGACCGCGAUGAUGACUACCGCAGAGGCAGCCGUGACCGUGACUAUGAUAGGCGUAGAGAUGACAGAGGAGAUAGACGCCGUCAUAGGUCUCGUUCGCGUUCCAAGGAUAGAUCUAGGCGCAGAUCAAGGUCUCGCUCUCCAUCAAAAACCAAACGGGUCAGUGGAUUCGAUAUGGCACCUCCAGCCUCUGCAAUGUUAGCUGCUGGUGCUGCUGUUACAGGCCAAGUUCCUCCACCACCACCAACUCUUCCUCCGGCUGGAAUGUUUCCCAACAUAUUCCCUUUACAGACUGGACAGGCAUUCGGUGGACUCCCUAUGAUGCCAAUUCAGGCUAUGACACAGCAGGCGACUAGGCAUGCUCGCAGAGUCUACGUUGGUGGGCUUUCCCCUGUGGCUAAUGAACAGUCUGUGGCUACAUUCUUUAGUCAAGUUAUGGCUGCGGUUGGUGGAAACACCGCUGGUCCAGGUGAUGCCGUCGUCAAUGUUUACAUAAACCACGAGAAGAAGUUUGCUUUUGUGGAGAUGAGAUCCGUUGAAGAGGCUAGUAACGCAAUGUCCUUGGAUGGCAUUAUAUUUGAGGGAGCUCCAGUGAAGGUGAGGAGACCUAGUGACUAUAACCCAUCUCUAGCUGCAUCUCUUGGCCCAAGCCAGCCCAGUCCCCAUCUAAACUUAGCUGCUGUUGGUCUGACUCCAGGUGCUUCCGGCGGUCUCGAAGGCCCAGACCGUAUCUUCGUCGGUGGACUUCCAUAUUACUUCACCGAGGCACAAGUCAGGGAGCUGCUGGAAAGCUUUGGAGCCCUAAAGGGGUUUGACCUCGUCAAAGAUCGAGAAACUGGGAACUCCAAAGGAUACGCCUUCUGUGUGUACCAAGAUGUCGCCGUUACAGAUAUUGCCUGCGUUGCUCUGAACGGUAUUAAAAUGGGAGACAAGACUCUCACUGUGAGACGCGCUAACCAGGGAUCAAUGCAGCCAAAACCUGAACAGGAGAGUGUGUUGUUGCAUGCACAGCAGCAGAUUGCUUUUCAGAUGAAUAUGUUCCAGCCGGGUCCAGUGGCAACUACAGUUGUAUGUUUGACUCAAGUUGUUACUGAGGAUGAGCUUAAAGACGAUGAGGAGUUUGAAGAUAUAAUGGAAGACAUGAGACAAGAAGGCGGAAAGUUUGCCUUUUGCUAUAAAGAAUCAGCACCUAACAUACUCAGACUGGAGACUGCAUAUCUUAUUUUUUUCACAAAUGGCUACUCUUUAAAAACUAACGUUUUUGUCUCUGUAUGUCUCUUGUAUUUGGAAUGUUUGUUGUUUAACUCUUAAAAUGCAGGUAUGUUGACCAGCGUUGUGAUUCCGCGUCCUAGCCCCAGCGGUGAGCCAGUGCCAGGCCUUGGCAAGGUGUUCUUGAAGUAUGUUGAUACUGAAGGUUCGUCGAGGGCAAGAAGCGGGAUGAAUGGUAGGAAGUUUGGAGGGAAUGAAGUGGUUGCUGUAUUUUAUCCAGAAGACAAGUUUGAUCAGGGAGAGUAUGGAGCCUGAAGCUCAUCCUUUGUUUGUUUGCUUGCUGUCUAGUACCUUUAAGUUCUCUUCAGUUUUUUGCUUCAGUUAAAAGACGCUUUGUGUUAUUUUAAGACCAAUAUAUGAUUUUGAUACU